GGACACUCAUACCUAUCUCUGUCAGAUAACUUUCCCCCUGUAGUUUUAAAAACGAAUCCAGAGGAUUCAGUCUUUGUUUUAUUAGAAAAAAGUAUCACUGCUUGGAUUUGAAAAUAAUAGAGUCGCAGUAGAAACGGAAGAAUCAACGGCAGCAAAGAGGGACCCGACAUUUCUAUCCGUUCAUCAAAGGUCCUGGGAGGAUGCAAGGAAGCUUCUCAUAUCUCUUACACUCCAGACUGGGAUCCGAUGUAAAUCUGGAAAAAGAGCGACAACAUUUGAUUCAGCAGCAGAAGUUGAGCAAAGCCCGGGCUCGGAAAUGUUUGCUGGAAACGAAUCGACGGAGAAAGGCUUUGGAAGAACGGCAGAAACAACUGGAAAUUCAGGAGGAGCGGCUGAGAGAGAACAUCCUGCAACAGCGCAGACAGAGAGUGGAGGAUGCAACCAAGCGCUUUCAGAGAGCCCAUCUACCACCAUCCCAGAGAUACAGGCAAACUUUCAGAAACAAGGCUACUAAUAUUGAAGAUGCACUCAGUCAAAUCCAAAGCUCCUUGGCUUCGUAUAACCAAGACUCCUCUGCACUGUCCACAGCAAAUACUCAUGGUUUCCCUUAUUCUACAAAGCCUCCCACAGAUUCUAAAUCCUCUCACCGCCAAGCGCUCUCUGCUGUGGAGGCCUAUACUAAGCUGCUUCAGGAGCAGUGCACCAUAGAGGAGGAAAGCCACCAUUCUGAUUCCUUGGUUUCUGAAAGCCUGUCAAGUAAGGACAGCUUGGAGGAUGAGGACUCAAACCAAAGCCCAUUAAAUCUGCACAGCUCCUAUUCAUCAUUCUUUCUAGAUUCAGAGAACCAGAAAAAACAAACUGAUUUGAAUUCAACAUCAGACCAAACUGCAGUCUCAGCGAUGAUGCUUCUUGAUCCAAAUCCGGCCAAACUUAGAAAAUGUGAGGAUUGCAAGCCAGAAAACCAAGAGAAUUCUAAUCUUUGGACUAAUAACAACAUGGUUGUAUCCAAAACCUCUCUGAGGUUCUCAUCUGAGAAGCGAACACCAAAUGUAGAUAACCCCCUAACCCUUAAGCAUUGUGACCCAUUAACUCGUUCCUCCCCUCUUAAUAGAGACUCAGUGCAUUUGAUGAACAGUCACAGCAACAACCUUCUGGUAACAAAUGAAGUUGGUACUGUUGAUGCUGAAGAGGAAGCUUUAUGUCCGAAAAAAGAUCCUGCUAGAUCUCAGAUCAAUGAUAGUCAAUUAAACUAUUCCUCCACUCAGUACAAUAAUUUCUCUCAUGAAAACAGCUUUCCAUUUGAGUCACCGAUGAAAAAAAGCACAGCCAAUGAUCACCCAAAUGAUACAUUCUUUUUGCAUAUAGAGAAAGAAAAUUUCCACCUGUCAUCAAAGAAAGAAAUCUGUGCUUCCAUAAAUAAUCUUAAUAAGGUCUCGAACUUAAUAUAUGAAACAGAGAAGCCUAAAAAUGCAUCAUUGCCAUCAUAUUCAGACCCAUCGAAUAUUCAGAUAGAGACAGAGAACUGUCCAAAAGAAGAAGAUAUCAGACUACCUAUUUCAGUGCCCCCCUCUGUGUCAAUAUGUGAUAUCAGAUUUCUUAAAGGAAUCCUCAAAAAACAGUCUAAGUAUACUUUAGAAGAUCCCUGUUUGCAUGAUUCAGGGGGUGUAACAUUGGCAAAACAUGUAGCAUUAGCAAUAAGAGACAGUAUUGAAUUGACAAGAGCAAAAACAAAAGAUGUGGUGGUCAAUAACACCAUGAAAAAAAAGCUUCGUUGGUUUGACGAGGUGCUUCUAGAAAAGGCGGGUAAAGAGCAAAACAAAAUGAAACAGGAUAAAGGCAUGUCUCACAGUCUUUUUAAUCCAAAAAACGGCUCAAAGGACCACCAUCAAGUUCUUACUACAGAGGCCGAGUCUUCAAAGCCUGCAUCGGGAAUGACCCCCACAGAUCCUGCUGGUUAUCACUUUACAAAAGAAGCAUGGGCAGAUGUUGGGGUUCAAGUAAACUUGCCCCAGGAGCAAGCAGACGAGGUCAAGGCGCGACGUACCAACACCAGGACUAUUGGACCAAAGGUUCCUCGGAGAACUCAUAAUGCCACUGUUGUUGGGGGUCCUGUUUCCUCCGUGACAAGAAAGGGCACUGUCAUACGACCUCAAUCUGCUAGCGAGGUGAGUCAGAUUGUCAAAACCCAAGGGAAGAUCAUGGUGCCCCGCCCACCUCCUCGGACAGAGCCGAUGGGAGAAAAAAAAGCAUGCAUCAGAAAGACUCCAUAUGGCACCAACCACCCUGGCAUCGAUCAUAAAGAGCCACUCGGUGCACAAGAGGCUCAGUACAAGAACAAUUUCGCAGAGGUUUUCACAUCUAACAGUCAUCCUCCAGUCCCAGCAGAUCCUACCGUUAUGUACACAAUAACACCACGCUCAUAUCCCUGCCCAGUCUGCCCACACUCUGACAGCAGUGCAAAAGGCACACCCAGUUCAAGACAUCAGGAGACACACAACAGCAAAGGAAAAGGGACGAUGAAUGAGAAAGGCGUCUGUUUACAUAGAACCCCCACAGAUGAAGAGAUUCUUCACGUCUGGCAUGGAGUCCGCAGCGCCCUAAACACAAAGGAUGAUAAACCUGCACUUAAAAAGCAAGCCCUGGAGAGCAGGCGAGUCUGCGGGAAAUCCUGUGCCGAGCAGAGCAGACAACCUCCUGGCUCAGGAAGUAGAAGAUUUCUUCAAAGCUUUCAGUAUAUGAACCAGAACUCUGAGCUAAUGAGACCUGGUCCAAGGAAUUGCAACAUAGUGUCUCGAAAUGAAGGUACUGGAUUAUGUAUUUUAUGAUUAUGAUUAGUUUUUGAAAGUAUAUGCAGCCUUCACUGCUUCCCUAAAAGAAAUGUGCAUGUAAGAAUUUUCUUAUGAUCCCCAUAUUAUUGACAACAUAUCCAAAUUUAAUCCUAAUAUUUCAAAGUGACUCCAACCGACAGACGAGACAACACCAUCCUAAACAACUUGGAUUCAGAAAAUUCAGUGCAUUAUGUUGUCAUUUUGCAUGACCCAGGUGUAUAACUGGUAACUCCAAAUGAGAGGUCUCAUCGCUUUUCCAAUCAAAUGCUUUCUUCGUGCCACUCUUUUAUUAAAGUCUAUAUUUUCAAACUUUUCCUCUUUACAGAUCACUUCCCCUGAGCUGUCGAUCUCUGCAGCUCCUCCAGAGUUACCUUGAACCUCUUGGCUGCUUCUCUGAUUAUUUUUCUCUUUAUCUGGCUUGUCAGCUAAUGUGGGCAUUCAUGUCUUGGUUUUGAGAGUGCAGCCCGG